rnacentral:rRNA from 1 species
UACAGAGACUGCAAGCGUUAUUCGGAUUCACUGGGCGUAAAGGGUGCGCAGGCGGCCAAGUGUGUGAGGCGUGAAAGCCCGGGGCUUAACCCCGGAAUUGCACCUCAAACUACAUGGCUAGAGCAUUGGAGAGGGUAGCAGAAUUCACGGUGUAGCAGUGAAAUGCGUAGAUAUCGUGAGGAAUACCAGAGGCGAAGGCGGCUACCUGGACAAUUGCUGACGCUCAGGCACGAAAGCGUGGGGAGCAAAAGGG